UGGGGAAUAUUGCGCAAUGGGGGAAACCCUGACGCAGCAACGCCGCGUGAAGGAUGAAGGCUUUCGGGUUGUAAACUUCUUUGAUCGGGGACGAAAAUGACGGUACCCGAGGAACAAGCCACGGCUAACUACGUGCCAGCAGCCGCGGUAAUACGUAGGUGGCAAGCGUUGUCCGGAAUUACUGGGUGUAAAGGGCGUGUAGGCGGGACGGCAAGUCAGAUGUGAAAUACCUCGGCUUAACUGGGGUGCUGCAACUGAAACUGUCGUUCUUGAGUGUCGGAGAGGAAAGUGGAAUUCCCAGUGUAGCAGUGAAAUGCGUAGAGAUUGGGAGGAACACCAGUGGCGAAGGCGGCUUUCUGGACGAUAACUGACGCUGAGGCGCGAAAGCGUGGGGAGCAAACAG
rnacentral:rRNA from 1 species